UCCGAAUUGGUGUAGUGGCUAACAUUACACGCUCUCAUGUAAUAUUCCAUUACUAAGCACCGUGUAGCUCGGGGUUCGAUUCCCCGAUUCGGAG